CGGAGGAUUAGGGUUUGAUUCCGGAGAGGGAGCCUGAGAAACGGCUAACACAUCCAAGGAAGGCAGCAGGCGCGCAAAUUACCCAAUCUCGACACGAGGAGGUAGUGACAAUAAAUAACAAUGCAGGGCUUUUUAAGUCUUGCAAUUGGAAUGAGUACAAUUUAAAAUCCUUAACGAGGAACAAUUGGAGGGCAAGUCUGGUGCCAGCAGCCGCGGUAAUUCCAGCUCCAAUAGCGUAUAUUUAUGUUGUUGCAGUUGAAACGCUCGUAGUUGGAUUUCAGGAUGGAACGACUGGUCUGCCACUUUGUGGUGUGUACCGGUUUGUCUGUUCUUUUAUUUGAGGAUGCAUUCUGUCCUUUAUUGGAUGGUUUGUGGACUCAAAUCUUUUACUUUGAAAAAAUUAGAGUGUUUAAAGCAGGCGUUAUGCCUUGAAUACAUUAGCAUGGAAUAAUGAAAUAGGACUUUGGUUCUAUUUUGUUGGUUUCUAGAACUAAAGUAAUGAUUAAUAGGGGCAGUUGGGGGCAUUAAUAUUUAAUUGUCAGAGGUGAAAUUCUUGGAUUUAUGAAAGAUUAACUACUGCGAAAGCAUUUGUCAAGGAUGUUUUCAUUAAUCAAGAACGAAAGCGUGGGGAUCGAAGAUGAUCAGAUACCGUCGUAGUCCACGCCCGAACCGAUGCCAUCUAGGAAUUGGUGAAUGUUCAUUUAUGACUUCAUCAGCGUCUUCCGAGAAAUCAAAGAUUUUGGGUUCUGGGGGGAGUAUGGUCGCAAGGCUGAAACUUAAAGGAAUUGACGGAAGGGCACCACCAGGAUUGGAGCCUGCGGCUUAAUUUGACCCAACACGGGAAAACUUACCAGGUCCAGACAUAGUAAGGAUUGACAGAUUGAGAGCUCUUUCUUGAUUCUAUGCGUGGUGGUGCAUGGCCGUUCUUAGUUGGUGGAUUGAUUUGUCUGCUUAAUUGCGAUAACGAACGAGACCUUAACCUACUAAAUAGCUACGCGAACCCUAGGUUCGUGGCCAGCUUCUUAGAGGGACUAUAUAAGACAAUUAUAUGGAAGUUUGAGGCAAUAACAGGUCUGUGAUGCCCUUAGAUGUUCUGGGCCGCACGCGCGCUACACUGACGAAUUCAACAAGUUUUAACCUUGACCGAUAGGUCUGGGUAAUCUUUUAAAAGUUCGUCGUGCUGGGGAUUGACAAUUGCAAUUUUUUGUCAUGAACGAGGAAUUCCUAGUAAGCGCGAGUCAUCAGCUCGCGUUGAUUACGUCCCUGCCCUUUGUACACACCGCCCGUCGCUCCUACCGAUUGGAUGGUCCGGUGAAGUCUUCGGACCA
rnacentral:rRNA from 1 species